rfam:Oryza rufipogon genomic scaffold, chr03
AAAAAGGCAAACCCUGAGUUUCCGUGUCCAACUUUGACUGUCCGUCUUAUAUGAAAUUUUUUUAUAAUUCGUAUUUUCAUUGUUGUUAGAUGAUAAAAUAUGAUUAAUAUUUUAUGCGUGACUUGUCUUUUUAAUUUUUUUCAUAUUUUUUUUCAAAUCAGACAGAUGGUCAAACGUUGGGCACGAAAACCAGGGUUUGUCUUUUU